GAUGAACGCUGGCGGUCUGCUUAACACAUGCAAGUCGAACGAACUCUUCGGAGUGAGUGGCGGACGGGUGAGUAACGCGUGAGAAUCUGCCUGUGGGUCGGGGACAACCACUGGAAACGGUGGCUAAUACCGGAUGAGCCGAAAGGUAAAAAAUUUAUUGCCCACAGAUGAGCCCGCGUCUGAUUAGCUAGUUGGUAAGGUAAAAGCGUACCAAGGCGACGAUCAGUAGCUGGUCUGAGAGGAUGAGCAGCCACACUGGGACUGAGACACGGCCCAGACUCCUACGGGAGGCAGCAGUGGGGAAUUUUCCGCAAUGGGCGAAAGCCUGACGGAGCAAGACCGCGUGGGGGAGGAAGGUUUUUGGAUCGUAAACCCCUUUUGUCAAGGAAGAAGUUCUGACGGUACUUGACGAAUAAGCCUCGGCUAACUCCGUGCCAGCAGCCGCGGUAAUACGGAGGAGGCAAGCGUUAUCCGGAAUGAUUGGGCGUAAAGCGUCUGUAGGUGGCCAGCUAAGUCUGCUGUUAAAGAUCACAGCUCA
rnacentral:rRNA from 1 species